UGAGCAUCGUGGCAGAGAAAAUAACCCCUUUGGGGCAAUCCAGCUCUCAAACGCUGGUCAGAACUCAAAGGAUGAUGCUGAGGGCACUUAUACUGCACUGAACACAUCAGCUGUUUCCUCAGACUAUGAAGAAAUAUGCAAGAAGUAACCAGGAUGGAAAUCUUUGCUCUAAUUGAUAAUGCUGGCGGCUGAUAAAAUUUACUGCCUUCAUUUUGUGAACAGUAAUGCUGCUCUUUAGUCCUUCACUGUUUGCUUAGCUUUAAGAGGCUUUAUUGAACUGGAGCUUCAUUUAUGGCAAAAGAAUGCAAUUCUGUUUUAAAGCACAGAUAUAAAAAUGUGCAUCACCAGUCAAAAUGUAUUUCACACAGUAUUUUUUAUUAUUUUUUAUUUCACAAUAUUGUAAAACCAAAAAGAAAGCUUAUGUUUUUGAAUAAUAUAUUGAUGAAUGUAUUUGAAUAUAUUUAGCUAUCAUGACCUGCUACAUAUAUUGUAUCAUCAGUAAGGUGUUCAAUACGGUAGAUAAGUCAUCUACAAUACACUGCACUUUUUUAACACAUAUUUUACAAUAUAUUCCAAUGUAUUUUUUAUUUCUUGAGGGAUGAUGUCUUUCUCAGUUUUAAUUUCAAAUAAAUAAUGAAACUUC